GAGGUGGGAGGAUUGCUUGAGCCCAGGAGGUUGAGGCUGCAGUGAGCUGUGGUCAUACCACUGCCCUCCAGCCUGGGUGACAGAGCAAGACCCUGUCUCA
ensembl:miRNA